UCCCACCCUUUGCGUCUGGCUGACGUAAACCAUCGCUCCCGCCCCGGCGGGGGAGGGGAGCGCCAGGGCGGGGUGCUUGGUGCGCUCCCCUCGCCUUGGAGCACAAUCCCGCAGCGCGGGGGGGGGUCAGGCCAGGCCACGCUCCGCCAAGUUUCGGGUCGCACUGAGGGAAAGGGCGAUCGCGCCCCGCCCAGCACGGAGUCCUGACAAAACACUGCACGGUGGAGUGUGUUGCCAUGGGCAGCCGCAGCGGGGACCACUGAGCUGUGGAGACACGUGGGAGCUGGAACCGAGGGACAGACCCCUCCAAGAGCCCGCUGUGGGGCAGGACGUGUGUGUGUGACCCGCACCGAAAUCGUGUGUCACACACGUGGGUUGGCUGUCUCGUAUGUGCCCGCCCUGUGCUUUUCUUCUCCGGGAGUUCGCGUCUCGCUGUUGCCUGGGGCGCCACCAUCUGAUGUUUGCUGCUGACAGCGGCUCACACGGGCUGAGCACCAGCGUGGGGAGCGGGGCAAGCCCUGGUUAGUGACGUAGCCUGCUGCUCAACUUUAACUUCUUUUUGCUGCUUCCCGAGAAGAGCAGAAACAAACAAUUAGAGAUGUGAAACUAUCAAAUCAGAUAUUCUCCCAAAGAUCAGGGCCGGCUCCAGCUUUUUUGCCGCCCCAAGUGGUGAAGGAAAAAACAAAAAAACCAAGCCUGGUUGAGCUGCCGCCGAAGAGGAAGAGAGAGACUGCAGGGCCUGCCGCCGAAUUGCCGCCAAAGACCUGGAUGUGCCGCCCCGAUGACGGAAGGAGUGCUGCCCCUUUCUAUAGGCCGCCCCAGGCACCUGCUUCCUUCGCUGGUGCCUGGAGCCGGCCCUGCCAAGGAUUCAGUCUUUGACGGAACUGCUGGUUUUCAGACAAAACCAGGAUCCAAAUUUUCAUGAAUAUCCCUACACUCUUCCAGUGGUUUCCUCAGUACAUGGAUUCCAAGAUGGCUUUUUGCUUGUCCUUAUGCAGUACUGAAGUGUAGUACUUGAUAGUAUUUAAGUAAGCCAAUAUAAGCAAUACAAGGAAGAAGUUUAUAAGGGAGGGGUAUACAGCUUCCAAAAAGAACAUUGGAUCUAAUUCUUAGCCUGUGCGCUGUAUCCAAAGAACAAACAUUAAAAAUGUGGUGUGAUGUUAUUGACAUAAACUGUGACUGUAUAGAUCGCUGUUGCAACCAAGGUCCUAUAGUUGCAUCAAAUCUUGUACAAAGGAGGUCAAAUAAGGUGUCUAUGAAAAGGUUGUAAUUUGCUGGUUAUGAUUAUGCUGUCUGUAUGUGUGUAUCAUUUUUGUAUUUGAAGUUAUGAAUAUUGGCUAUGUACUUGUAUCUCAAUGUGUUUGAUUCUAAGUAGCAUCAGUGAAGCAUUU